UACAGAGGUCCCAAGCGUUGUUCGGAUUCACUGGGCGUAAAGGGUGCGCAGGUGGGCUGUCAAGUUUGGUGUGAAAGCCCCGGGCUUAACCCGGGAAUGGCAUUGAAUACUGAUGGUCUGGAGGAUUGGAGGGGGGACUGGAAUUCUUGGUGUAGCAGUGAAAUGCGUAGAUAUCAAGAGGAACACCAGUGGCGAAGGCGAGUCCCUGGACAAUUCCUGACACUGAGGCACGAAAGCCAAGGGAGCAAACAGG
rnacentral:rRNA from 1 species